AGAGAUGUGCUCAAAGGUGGGUAGUCUGGAAGCUGCAGCCAGUGAAGGGCUACUUGAGGACAUGUCUGAAGUGGUAGUGGAUGCUGAUAAGGAGACACAGAGAGCCCUACAGAAAGUCAUCACAGGUAAAAUGUGAAGAGGAGUCAAAAGGUGUCCAUAAACCAAAAGAGAUUGUAAGAAGAUUGGACUCCAGUUUGUCGCCAGUGGCUCAGAAGAACUACAGAGUAAACAUGCCUCUCAUUAAAGACCGAAAGGGUAUAAUAUCAAGGAAGCAGAGGCCCAGAAGGCAGGCUGCCAUAUCAGCUCUGUCAUUAAAAGCAAAUCUAACUCGUGUGCUGAUAUGAGGCAAAAGUUCCAGCAGAACAUGAAGAAACAGCUUGUUCUUUAUGUGACACCCUCGUGAGCCUUGAGAGGGUAACAGGAAGCAGAAAGGAUGUUCAUUCAGGAGCCCUCUCAACAGUGAGAGCAAGGAAUGCUCUUUUAUGCCAUGCCAGGAGGGCAGGGACACAGCAGCAUUCAGCUCAUUGAACCAGCCUCUGAGUUCCAUGUUCUGAGGGACCACCACAGCCCACUGGGACUCUCUUUGGUGUCACAGUCUCCAACUCUGUGUCACUGAAUGGCCUGACAAUCAUGAGGAUGAACAGCCAGCAGAGGAGGGAUGUUCCUGCACACUUGUUAAGACCAGAAUGACCAGACACUGGAACUUCUUCCCAGAACGCUGUGGGCCUUUGAGGAGAGUCCUACCAGCAAUACAGCAAAGUGUGAUGGAGAGACCACGUUCUGCCUUGCGAGGAAUCCUGCUGUCAAGCCAUAGCACUCUCUGAAAUCAGGGGAAGAAGGCCUUUAAAAAAAUGUGUAUCUUGAAACUGUCACGUCUCCAGCCCAUCUGCUUUGCCCAUCGUGGCAGUAAUUUAUCCGGCAUUUUGCCUUACUCAUAUUCCUUGGAAAAUCACUUCUCCGUGCAGAGUGAUCAGUUUCUUUUUCAGGGCUCAGCUUGAAGUGCAAGGCUGUAAGCAGGAAUAUUGGUACUCUGACUCAUUCUCUUGGAGGGCUAUUUUUAUGAUUGUUCAUGGAACUACAUCUUAAAACUCUCAGUUCGUGCUCUUAAAUGAUUUUCACAGCUUUCUGCUGAGUCGUCUCAGCACAAUGGUUUUCCCCUCUGAAGUUAGAGACUUUCUGAGGUUCUCGGGAAUGUAACUACUCUCCAUCCCUGCAGCUUGUAAAACCAAACUAUUGGCUGAGUACCUCCUUCUUUUUCUUCACCUCAGUAAGUGGCUCCAAGUCAGUGCUAUUUAAAAUUUAAUCAGUCUUGUCCUAACAGGAUAUACUUCUUGAAUUUUAGUGGUUUAUGUAAAAGAUAGGUUAAAUUCAGCUACACUAACUGCCUCGUGACAGAACCUUUAUCUCCAGAACCUCUUAAUGAGCUCUCAUUAGCACAAAUUGCCCCUCAAUCUCUCACCACUUCCUAUCUCCUGCUUUCUUUGCAAUCCAUUAGCAUCCGUUAGCAGCCUCAUUUGAACAAUUAAACUUUAUUGUUUCCAGAAACACACAAGGACCCCCAGGUUCUUCUAUUAGGUCUGUGUCUCAGGGACCUGGGAAGGGAGUCACACGGUCCAACUUAACAGAGGCCAAAUUCUACCUACCGUUCAUUAUCCUCAGGGAAAAAUUUACUGCAGGUUGUUGAUGUGACUGGUAACUCUGGAUCACCCUAUAAAGGCAUUUAAACUAAAUGUCUGAUGUUAGAGUGCAAGAAUCUCCAUCCUUUCCUCACACUCGAGGUUCAAGUCUCCCUGGCUAAUCUCUGCACAGAACUGUGCCUUCUCUGCGGUAUUGAUUUGCCACGGGUUUUUCUUGUGCUUGUUUAUGUUCACCACUAAUGGCUCAAACUUCCCUAAGUGAGCUGGAUGUUCUCAUUGGUUCUUAUUUGCCUGUGAGUGUUUCAACUACCAGCAGGCAAACUCAAACUCUAAGCCAUGACAAUGGUCCCCUGAAACUGUGCUCGUGGAUUAAAGGCUUGGGUGGCCCUGGAAGAUGAUCCCUUCCAAAGGGAUGGAGUCCAUGGACUCUUAACAGUAAUUGUAUGGUGUGAUGUGAACUGUAUUUUCUGAGCUUGUCUGCUGACUGUGUUUAAAGCCCCUUGAGAAGAAACAGAUCAGAGGUUUUACAGCUGUACAGAGUUUGUGCCUGAACACUAAUGGCUACAUUGGCAAGCAGAAGGAACUUGGUAUUUCUUACUCUUUCCUAAAGAUACACCAUCUUUUCUUUUGACAUUUUGAUAGAUCAGCAGAUUCUCAUUCCAUGUUAUAUUCCGGGCAUGCAGCUGAGUGAUGAUUAAUGUGUAUGAAAGCGAAAAUACUGCACCUUUAUUUCUUAUGUCUUCACUGUGUUACAUUAUAUCUUGUUGGAUGACAUUUGGAACUGGGAAACGUGGCUCCAUUCGAGUCAAUGGCAAAGCUUCCAGUGACAGAAGUGUCUCAUUCAUAAAGCUGUAAGCACAUCUUACUAUUUUUUUGUAACUUUAAUUAAUUAAAUGUUCUCAAGAGGAGUCAGACAGAGCAAAAUCUCAGCUUCAGCCUUCAUCUGAUCAGAAGUCUCCAUUUUGCUGAAGCUCCACGCAGGUAUGAAGUCUUUUUUCUAAUAUAUCACAUGGCAGAAACAGAGCCUGUUCCUUUCUAAGUGCCAUAGUUUUUCUCACCAACUUGAAAACCAUGACGGAAGCAGAUCUUUUUUUUUUUACUUGUUUUGUGGUUGUUAGGGAAUUUUUUCCCCAAAUAUUAGUGUUUGGAAAUAAUAUUAAUUUCUUUGCUCCUUCUUGUGCAUCCCCCAAAGUGGAUUUCACCUUACAGGUGUUACGUUCAGUAAGGACUGAAUCACUUGCUAGAAAUUGGCCUUUCGGUUCGUUAUUUUUUGCUAAUCUUCAAAGCUUUUCCUAAGUUUAACAAGUCGCUGGAGUUAUAGGAGAUGGCGAAUUCAUCUCAGACCCGAGGAAAUGCCUUUUCAGGCUUUACCCCACUUGCUGACGCAGCUCAGACAUCAGAAACGCGAGUUUAAGAACGCGGCGGAGUUCUUAAACUCCGGGGCGAGGGGAGGGGGAGAGACUUCUUAAAGUCUUCACAGGGGUCAUGCAAACUGGCAUAAAGUCUUUUAACAGCAAAAAGUUCCAAAAACUCCGGAACAACCGCAGGCUUUGCGCUCCUCCGGCCGCCGGGGAGCUCCCGGGGCGGGGCAGGGACAGCCCGGGGCUCCCCCGACCCGCCGCAGCCGGGACGCGGCGCUGGGAACUCUCGACGGCUGUUGCUCGGAGUUGGUGUUUUUGCGAUCCCCGCCGUGAACUUCGCUCACGAGUUGAAAGCUCCCGC